rnacentral:tRNA from 1 species
AAGUGAGAAGCAAAUAUUGCAAUCAGUUUCGACCUGAUCUUAGGUAAGAAAUUAUCCACACUUU